rnacentral:rRNA from 1 species
UGCAAGUAGAACGCUGAAGACUUUAGCUUGCUAAAGUUGGAAGAGUUGCGAACGGGUGAGUAACGCGUAGGUAACCUGCCUACUAGCGGGGGAUAACUAUUGGAAACGAUAGCUAAUACCGCAUAACAGCAUUUAACCCAUGUUAGAUGCUUGAAAGGAGCAAUUGCUUCACUAGUAGAUGGACCUGCGUUGUAUUAGCUAGUUGGUGAGGUAACGGCUCACCAAGGCGACGAUACAUAGCCGACCUGAGAGGGUGAUCGGCCACACUGGGACUGAGACACGGCCCAGACUCCUACGGGAGGCAGCAGUAGGGAAUCUUCGGCAAUGGGGGCAACCCUGACCGAGCAACGCCGCGUGAGUGAAGAAGGUUUUCGGAUCGUAAAGCUCUGUUGUAAGAGAAGAACGUGUGUGAGAGUGGAAAGUUCACACAGUGACGGUAACUUACCAGAAAGGGACGGCUAACUACGUGCCAGCAGCCGCGGUAAUACGUAGGUCCCGAGCGUUGUCCGGAUUUAUUGGGCGUAAAGCGAGCGCAGGCGGUUUAAUAAGUCUGAAGUUAAAGGCAGUGGCUUAACCAUUGUUCGCUUUGGAAACUGUUAGACUUGAGUGCAGAAGGGGAGAGUGGAAUUCCAUGUGUAGCGGUGAAAUGCGUAGAUAUAUGGAGGAACACCGGUGGCGAAAGCGGCUCUCUGGUCUGUAACUGACGCUGAGGCUCGAAAGCGUGGGGAGCAAACAGGAUUAGAUACCCUGGUAGUCCACGCCGUAAACGAUGAGUGCUAGGUGUUAGGCCCUUUCCGGGGCUUAGUGCCGCAGCUAACGCAUUAAGCACUCCGCCUGGGGAGUACGACCGCAAGGUUGAAACUCAAAGGAAUUGACGGGGGCCCGCACAAGCGGUGGAGCAUGUGGGUUUAAUUCGAAGCAACGCGAAGAACCUUACCAGGUCUUGACAUCCCGAUGCUAUUCCUAGAGAU